GCUGUUCUGCGCAUGCGUCGUAACCGUCAGUGGAGGAGAGCUCGAGCGCCUGUGCUUCAGGUCACACAGAGGGAGCAAUUGUUUCAUAAAAUAUCCAGCGUGGAAGCUCAGAAGAUGGAUAUAUAACGUUUUUUAAAUGCUGGAAAGGAGAGCAAACAGGUGGAGAAAGAGUUAGAGAGACUGAAGAGGUCAGAGACAGGUGCAUUUAUAGUCCAUCAUGACAUAAAAAAUCCUCGGCAUGCAACCACGAGGAGAGGGGGAAUUUACUAAGGAGUUUUGUCUAUAUAUUAUAUAAAAUCUACUUUUGGAAAGAGCAGAACCUAAUCCAAAUAAAAAUAAACAAGCUGUUAAAAGCCAGUUGAAGGUGGUCAACACAAACCAAAUGAAGAUGUUGCACAUUCCACAAACAAUAAAAAAAGAAGAUCAAGUUUUGUGUCCAACACACUUGGAUGAGACGUGCCCGACCCCUGACUUUGUCUACCCUACAUUAAGUUGUGAUGGCACACUUCAUGACAGUAAACAUCGGUAUCAAGAUGGUGUGAUUGAUCUAUACCCUAGAAUAAGCUGUGACACUAUGAGACGUGAGGUAACACAACGAAAACAUAACAGGAUGGAGACUACCUGAUUCUUCACCUAUGGCCUUAGCUUCAAAUGCAAGAAGUCCAGCAACUGUCUGAGCUGGUGGAUAUUCUAUCAGAGACUGCAUGAACAAUGUUAUGAACAGAAUGAUGUCUUAUGGCAAAGUUCAAUAUGAGGGGUGGUGGACAUCUGGAAAAGAAGUCUUUUAAAGGCACACCUUCGUAUUAUGUUAUUCAAGAUGCUGUGAGGAGGUGGAGCCCAAAAGCCACGGACUCGGAAAUAGAUGCAGCUAUGGCAGACCACCUCAAGCACGCUCCAGGAAGAGAGCUAGGGGUUGUGAAUACAAAAAAUAAGCCAAACAGAUGUAAUGUGUUAUAGAUAGUUUACACAAAAAUGAAAAUUGUUAUAAUUUUCUUACCCACGUGUUUCAAACCUGUAUACAUUUUUAUUUUCUGCUGAACACAAAUAUUGAAUAAUGUUUGUAACCAAGCAUUUCUCACAACCCAUUAACUGUCAUAAUAAUUUUUUUUACAAUUGUAGUAAUGGGUUGUGAGAUCUGCUUUUUUAAAAACUUUCAAAUAUCUUUGUGUUCCGCAGAACAUAGAAAGGUAUACAGGCUUGAAACAUGAGAGGGAGUAAAUGACUAAAUAUUCAUUUUUGGGUGAACUAUCCCUUUAUAUAAUAAAGUAUUUUGAAAUUGUUAUUAUAGUUAAAAAAAUAAAAGUCCUAAAUCAGAACAUGCUUCUUUUUUGCUCAUGUCCACAAAUAAUGUGUUCUUUAAUGUGUUUAAUGCCUAAAGACCUACACCAAGCGACAAGUGCUAUGGUUGUUAGCUUAUAUACAUUCUGAAAAUUUAAUGUGUACUUUAUGUGGAUGGAGCCCUAUGAUUAUUGCUUCUGACUGUAGGGUAAUUAAAUAUAAGGUAGCCUAAACACAUGAUAGACUAAACAUCACAAAGGCCAUAAAUC